rnacentral:rRNA from 1 species
AACGCUAGCUACAGGCUUAACACAUGCNAGUCGAGGGGCAGCAUGANUGAAGCUUGCUUCAAUUGAUGGCGACCGGCGCACGGGUGAGUAACGCGUAUCCAACCUUUCCGUACACUCAGGGAUAGCCUUUCGAAAGAAAGAUUAAUACCUGAUGGUAUCUUAAGCACACAUGUAAUUAAGAUUAAAGAUUUAUCGGUGUACGAUGGGGAUGCGUUCCAUUAGGUAGUAGGCGGGGUAACGGCCCACCUAGCCUACGAUGGAUAGGGGUUCUGAGAGGAAGGUCCCCCACAUUGGAACUGAGACACGGUCCAAACUCCUACGGGAGGCAGCAGUGAGGAAUAUUGGUCAAUGGCCGCGAGGCUGAACCAGCCAAGUAGCGUGAAGGAUGACGGCCCUACGGGUUGUAAACUUCUUUUAUGCAGGGAUAAAGUGGGGGACGUGUCCCUUAUUGCAGGUACCGCAUGAAUAAGGACCGGCUAAUUCCGUGCCAGCAGCCGCGGUAAUACGGAAGGUCCGGGCGUUAUCCGGAUUCAUUGGGUUUAAAGGGAGCGUAGGCCGGCCCUUAAGCGUGCCGUGAAAUGCCGUGGCUCAACCAUGGCACUGCGGCGCGAACUGGGGGUCUUGAGUGCGCGGAAGGCAGGCGGAAUUCGUGGUGUAGCGGUGAAAUGCUUAGAUAUCACGAAGAACUCCGAUUG